CACCACCGCUCGUCUCCAGCCCAGCACCCCACCGACAAGCCGCCGGGCUCUGGCCAAACAUUGUUCAGGUGUCUUUUCCCCCCAUUGAAGGUACGGAGGGGAUUACCAAUCAAAAAGAAAUCUUGUGGGGGUCUUGAUCAUCCAUCUGCGUCUGAGUUAGGAAGAAUGCAAAGUUACCUUCUGAGGAGAAUCUCGGGCAUCUUGCCCAUGAAAACACAGGAGGCCCCGCUCCUGAGCCUCGGUGGGCUGGCCUCGCAUCGCCCCUGUAUCGUCACGACAGCAUGUCAGCUGCUUGACGGGCACGGUAAGUGCCUCUGUGCUUAACCAGCCACCCAGAACGGCCACCAUCCAGAUGAUGAUUGCAAACCCACCGCUCCGCAGCAUUUUCAAAAGCCCACCUGAGAGAAACAGCAUUUAUGGAAGAUUACCUGAAAUAAAUGCAGUCUGUAUAUUCUUCUAGAUACCCUACGGUCUACCCCUGAAUUAUGAAUUAAGCAGACAGUCAGUGAGCUCAUGCCUAGCUAUCUCAUAUGGGCACCCCCAUGACGUUGCUUUCACUGAAUUCCAGAUUGUCCUGAUGGCAUCAGUUGGUACUGAGGGAUGACCCAACAAACAGCCCGACGCACUUUGCCAUUGUCUUUUCCUGGAAGGACAGGUCAUUACAUCAGGCAGCAGCCUCUCUGCUUAGGAGAUCACGGAAGAAGGUUACUCUGUUCUCAGCACUACAAACGAUUGCGCUUUUCCUCAGUGACUGCUUUCUUUUUACCUCACGGGCUCCGUAAAUGUUAUAACUGGUGGUAUUUCUCUUUUCAUGCUAGUGACUAGACAGGUUAUGGUGACAUCUGCACCUCCCCCGCCCCCAACAGAUGACUAGGACAAAAAGCACAAAUUUUGCAUAGCCUCACUCACCCCUGUUCUUUUUCCUUGCCCUCAUUUGACUUUUUUUCAUUUUCCUUUCUUUUACAUUCCUGUGCUUGCACCACGUAGGAACCCGCUUCCUGUCCUCGCUGCCACGGGGAUACUCUGUUCCACACCUCCUGCCCUUCAAGAGACAUUUUAAAUUCUAACUCCUCAUUUGCAGAUUAAAUACAAUGAGGUAAUAAUCACAA